rnacentral:rRNA from 1 species
CGGAAAAAGAGGAGUGGCGAACGGGUGAGUAACACGUGGGUAACCUGCCCAUCAGAAGGGGAUAACACUUGGAAACAGGUGCUAAUACCGUAUAACAAUCAAAACCGCAUGGUUUUGAUUUGAAAGGCGCUUUCGGGUGUCGCUGAUGGAUGGACCCGCGGUGCAUUAGCUAGUUGGUGAGGUAACGGCUCACCAAGGCCACGAUGCAUAGCCGACCUGAGAGGGUGAUCGGCCACAUUGGGACUGAGACACGGCCCAAACUCCUACGGGAGGCAGCAGUAGGGAAUCUUCGGCAAUGGACGAAAGUCUGACCGAGCAACGCCGCGUGAGUGAAGAAGGUUUUCGGAUCGUAAAACUCUGUUGUUAGAGAAGAACAAGGAUGAGAGUAACUGUUCAUCCCUUGACGGUAUCUAACCAGAAAGCCACGGCUAACUACGUGCCAGCAGCCGCGGUAAUACGUAGGUGGCAAGCGUUGUCCGGAUUUAUUGGGCGUAAAGCGAGCGCAGGCGGUUUCUUAAGUCUGAUGUGAAAGCCCCCGGCUCAACCGGGGAGGGUCAUUGGAAACUGGGAGACUUGAGUGCAGAAGAGGAGAGUGGAAUUCCAUGUGUAGCGGUGAAAUGCGUAGAUAUAUGGAGGAACACCAGUGGCGAAGGCGGCUCUCUGGUCUGUAACUGACGCUGAGGCUCGAAAGCGUGGGGAGCAAACAGGAUUAGAUACCCUGGUAGUCCACGCCGUAAACGAUGAGUGCUAAGUGUUGGAGGGUUUCCGCCCUUCAGUGCUGCAGCUAACGCAUUAAGCACUCCGCCUGGGGAGUACGACCGCAA